rnacentral:tRNA from 1 species
GGAAUUGUAGCUCAGUGAUAGAGCGUUUGUCUAACAUGCAUGAAGCCCUGGUUCAAUCCCGGCUACUACA